rfam:Callithrix jacchus chromosome 22, whole genome shotgun sequence
UCCCAUGCUGUGACCCUCUCAAGGGAAGCACUUUCUAUUGUCUGCAAAAAAAAGGCGCUUCCCUUGAGAGUGUCACGGUUUGAGG